GAUGAACGCUGGCGGCGUGCUUAACACAUGCAAGUCGAACGGAAAGGCCCUGCUUUUGUUGGUUUCUCGAGUGGCGCACGGGUGUGUAACACGUGAGUAUCCUGCCCUUGACUUUGUGAUAACUUCACGAAACUGCGGCUAUUACCCGAUAGGAGCUCCUGCUCCAUGUUGGUGGUUGGAGAGUUUCGGCGGUUUUGGCUCGACUCGCGGCUUAUCCGCUUGUUGGUGGGGUAGUGGCUUACCAAGGGUUCGACGGAUAGCCGGCAUGAGAGGGUGAACAGCCACAAGGGGACUGAGGGAGGGCGCAGAAGCCUACGGGAGGCAGCAGGCGGAAACAUGGCACAAUGGGCGGAAGCCUGAGGCAGCAGCGUCGCGAGCGGGAUGACGGCCUUCGGGGGGUAAACAGCUGUCGCCGGUGACGAAGAGUGAGUGACGGUAAUGGGUAAAGAAGCACCGGCUAACUACGUG
rnacentral:rRNA from 1 species